AAGUCGAGCGGCAAGCGGUAGCAAUACCGCNUAGAGCGGCGGACUGGUGAGUAACGCGUGGGUGAUCUACCCAUAGGUUGGGGAUAGCCUGUAGAAAUAUAGGGUAAUACCGAAUAUCCUUGCCGGACUUUGGUUUGGCAAGGAAAGGCGCUUCGGCGCCGCCUGUGGAUGAGCCCGCGUACUAUUAGCUAGUUGGUGAGGUAAUGGCCCACCAAGGCGAUGAUAGUUAGCCGGCCUGAGAGGGUGAUCGGCCACAUUGGGACUGAGAUACGGCCCAAACUCCUACGGGAGGCAGCAGCUAAGAAUAUUCCGCAAUGGACGAAAGUCUGACGGAGCGACGCCGCGUGAAUGACGAAGGCCGAAAGGUUGUAAAAUUCUUUUGCCACUGAAGAAUAAGCAUGGUAGGUAAUGACCGUGCGAUGACGUUAGGUGGUGAAUAAGCCCCGGCUAAUUACGUGCCAGCAGCCGCGGUAACACGUAAGGGGCGAGCGUUGUUCGGAAUUAUUGGGCGUAAAGGGCGCGUAGGCGGCUCUGUAAGUCUGAAGUGAAAUCCCACAGCUUAACUGUGGAACUGCUUCGGAAACUGCUGAGCUCGAGUCUAGGAGGGGAAGUUGGAAUUCCUAGUGUAGGGGUGAAAUCUAUAGAUAUUAGGAAGAACACCAAUGGCGAAGGCAAACUUCUAGCCUAAGACUUGACGCUGAGGCGCGAAAG
rnacentral:rRNA from 1 species